rnacentral:lncRNA from 1 species
GAGAUCAUCAGCACCUCCUGAAUAUCAAAUUGUACUGCUAUUAUCUCUGUACAGUGUGGGCCAGUCUCCUAUCAGUGUAAACAUUUAUAUCGGUGAUUAUCACUAGGACUGGUAGAGAUCCCAAAAUAGACAAGGCUGAACAGGAGUCUGCCAUUAUUGGCUCAGAGUCCUCUGAGCCCAAACACUAUGUUAAUAUUCUUGACAUUGGGGUGCCUUCUGCACAGGGUGCACAGACAGGAGGAUGGUGCGAGACUGCCAGUGAAUGUGCAAAUGUUAAGGACAUGGAUGAAUGUCAAUGGGUUUUUGCACUUGCUGUGUUUUUUUUGUGUGUGUCUUUGCUUUGUUUUGCUUUGUUUUGAUGGACAUGCUGGAUAGCAUAGAGAAGUGCUGAUCUAAACCUCUCUUGUCAACCAGCUGAAGCUCAGCGGCUUUGGCUGCCUCCUACGAGACCCUUUCCCUGCUCUGAAUCUCCAGCUGAGGAGACUCCCAGGGGACAGUCCCUUGCCAUCACCAUCUUUCAGAGCUGUCAGGAUGCUUUAGCAGCUCUUGGCAUGGCUUUCCAACUCUCGCUUGCCCUGAUGUGACCUGUGUCUGAGGACGAGCCUGUCCACAUAUGCUGCUUUCUAUGCAGAUCUAUACCUCCCCACCACAAAGAUUUUUUAAUUAAAGUCAUUAAUAACUGCAGUGCUUAAUGGAAUUACCUUUUGUUUCAUACUUCUCCCUGUAAUUACUACUUUAGGGUGUUUCCUUUGUGGGUAUGGCUAGGCAGAGCCACCCGAUGGCAGCACAGGAAGCACAGCUCUGCAUCUGCUGCCCAUCCUGCAGACAGAGAUCAGGGUUGUAUCUCAGUCCUUAACUCUUGCCACCCAGAAAGGGCAUCUCAAUGUGGUCGGAGCAAAUCUGGGAUGCUGAUUGCUUUGUGCCCUGCACAACAAAGCCUCUCACAGAAACCCUGUGGCCCUGUGCUGGGUCUCAGCCAGCUGCUGAGCACCGUGCUUGCUUCUCCUCUGACAAGCAACCUGCUUUGGAGUGAGCCUGCUUCAAGGCAUACCUGUAGCACACGGCUACGCCCAUUGGCUAUGUGGUCCUUGAAUGACUUCAGAAUAGAUUGAGAUCUUUGACUGAAAGUCUUUGCCGUGGCAUCAUGUACAAUAUCAGCACAAACGAUGCAUUCUGUAACCAUAAAUUUAGGUCUGGAUUUAUGUCUGCGUACAAGCACAUACGCACUCAUGUGUAUUUGCAUCCAUGUCGUUCUAAGUCCAAACAGAAUCACAGAAUGGCUUGGUUUGGAAGGGACCUUAAAAAUCACCUAGUUCCAACCCCAGAUAUGGUCCAUCUGAACACAUAAGUGAACAAUAUACCUUGUAUGUUGAACACAAGGGCCAAAACAUACUGGAAAACACAACCCAUAUUACACUCUGCAUACAAGCCUAAUGCUAAGACUGGAGUUCAUUUUAAGUAUCUUCAGAAGAUCUGGAGGUGUUUCUGUUAUUAUGAUAAGUCUGAGUAUCGUAGCAAUGCUUUCUCUGAGUAAGAACUAACCUAAUGUGAGAAAAUAUGUGAAAAUCCAGAGAAGAAGUCAACUCUGACUCAUCUGGAAGAUGAAACAAGUCUCUGAUAUCCUGUUCAUUCACCGGGGAGCCAUACUUAUCAUCGGAUUGUUACUGCCAGCCAGCAUACACGUAUUUAUAUAUUCUGUAUGAUCCAAGUGCUUAAAAUUGCUUUGGACUGUUGACAUCAGCUGAGAUGAAUGAAAGCAAUUCACAGGCCCACUGUGAUCGA